CCCAGACUCCUACGGGAGGCAGCAGUGGGGAAUAUUGCACAAUGGGGGAAACCCUGAUGCAGCAACGCCGCGUGAGUGAAGAAGUAUUUCGGUAUGUAAAGCUCUAUCAGCAGGGAAGAAAAUGACAGUACCUGACUAAGAAGCCCCGGCUAACUACGUGCCAGCAGCCGCGGUAAUACGUAGGGGGCAAGCGUUAUCCGGAUUUACUGGGUGUAAAGGGAGCGUAGACGGCUGCGCAAGUCAGAAGUGAAAGCCCGGGGCUCAACCGCGGGACUGCUUUUGGAACUAUCUAGCUAGAUUGCAGGAGAGGUAAGUGGAAUUCCCAGUGUAGCGGUGAAAUGCGUAGAUAUUAGGAGGAACACCAGUGGCGAAGGCGGCUUACUGGACUGUAAAUGACGCUGAGGCUCGAAAGCGUGGGGAGCAAACAGGAUUAGAUACCCGCGUAUC
rnacentral:rRNA from 1 species